GACGAACGCUGGCGGCGUGCUUAACACAUGCAAGUCGAACGAAGUGGCGAACGGGUGAGUAACGCGUAAUCAACCUGCCCUUAAGAGGGGGACAACAGUUGGAAACGACUGCUAAUACCGCAUACUGAAGGAGGGGAUUGCGUCUGAUUAGCUAGUUGGAGGGGUAACGGCCCACCAUGGCGAUGAUCAGUAGGCUGGCUGGGGGGAUGGACGGCCACAUUGGGACUGGGACCCGGCCCAGACUUCUACGGGGAGCAGCAGUGGGGAAGCUUCCGCAAUGGACGAAAGGCUGACGGAGCAACGCCGCGUUAGUGAUGACGGCCUUCGGGUUGUAAAGCUCUGUUAAUCGGGACGCGGUACCGGAAUAGAAAGCCACGGCUAACUACGUGCCAGCAGCCGCGGUAAUUC
rnacentral:rRNA from 1 species